CCUGCUCGUCGUCCUCGUCAAACUCAUACUCAUCCUUGACGGGGGUCACAGUUUUCUGGGGCUCCGGAUUCUUAGUCUUGUGCUUCAGACCUUUCUCAAACUCGGAGUCCGUGUUAUUGCCGUCGACUGAGCUGGAAGGAAAGUAAGAUCACCUGUCGCUAAUCCGUGCCCAGGACCCACUGAACGCAAGGACAGCAGACCUCACUUUACUGCGCUUCAGAUGCCGUGUUGUCUACAGACGGAGGGUCUGCGGCGACCCUACCCUGCACCCAGCAAGUCUACUGGCGCCAUUUCCCCGACAGCAUUUGCUCACUUGGUGUCUGUGUGUCACAUUUUGGUAGUUCUCGCGGUAUUUCAGACCCUCCACCAGCAAAAAGAUCACGACUCCUGGAGCUUCAGGUGACAGUUACAUUUUUUAGCAAUAAUGUAUUUCUUUUUUUUUUAAGGCCGCAUGGCACAGCAUGCAGGAUCUUAGUUCUCUAACCAGGGAUUGAACCCGUGUCCCCUGCAGCGGAAGCGUGCAGUCUUAACCACUGGACCGCCAGGGAAGUCCCGCAAUAAUGUAUUUCUUAACGAAGGAGUGCAACUUGUUUAUAGAUACUGCUAUUGCACACCUAACGGCAACUGUCCAGUGCAGACAACGUUCAGAUGCACCAGGAAACCAAAGAAUUCUGUGUGACUCACUCCAUCUCGAUCCUCGCUUCACUCGGGUGGCCGGGGCAGAACCGACAGCCUCCCCCAGGUGCCUGGCAAACGGGACGGCGGCCUCCACUUCAGCCCGGGCUGCACGCAGGUGUACCUGGGUCUGCAUGGCGGGAGCAGGACACUGCUUCCUGGGCAGGCGCUCCCCUGCCCUCUGGCAAAUCACCACGGUGCUGGACAAUCCUGGGGCCAGAGUCAGGGCUCUGGUCCCGUGUCCUUGCUGUCUGCCAGCCGACGAACACCCCAACUGCUUCAGGCCACCACGUUCCCUGGCUACGGCCCCUCCCUCUGAGACCAGCAACGCAGGUUAAGUCCCCUCAAUGCCGUCCUCCCUCCGGCCGAGAAACGGUCUCUGCCGUAUGCAGCCCCGAAGGCCACCAGCCCACCCGGACAGUCCUGGGUCACCUCCCAUCUCCUGGCCCUCAGCCUUCUCCCCUCUGCAGAGCCCACACCUGAGGCCACGUGUCCAUUGUCUCUCACUGCUCCCUAAUAACAAGUUUAAAGACAAUUACACAAGCGGAGAUUCAGGCGGCGGUCCUCUCCCUCCCAGCUCCAUCACCUACCAGCCAGCCAGCCUCAUUUCACCCAUACCCCAUACCUGCCCACUGCCCCGGGUAUCUUUUUGUUUUUUAAUUUUUGGCUGUGUCGUGUCUUAGCUGUGGCAGGCGGGACCUUUCGUUGCGGUGUGUGGGCUCUUCGUUGCGGUGCGUGGGCUUCUCUCUAGUUGCGGCGCGCGGGCUUAGUUGCCCCAUGGCAUGUGGGAUCUUAGUUCCUUGACCAGGGAUCAAACCUGCAUCCCUGCGUUGGAAGGCGGAUUCUUAAACACUGACCACCAGGGAAGUCCCUGCCUGCCCUCGUUUUUUUUAGCAAAUCCCAGAUAUUUCAUAAAGUUUUUCAGCAUACUUCUUCUCUAAAA